UUUCUAACCAGUGAAUCUCUGUGUGUAAAAGACAUUCCUGUUAGCAGGAGCAAAGAACAGGACCUCGCACUUCUCUGCUUCAGACUCUCCUUCUUCCCAGCCCUGACAUGCUUACUCUGAAGUUGAUAGAUAUGCUGCAAAUCUUUGCUCCCAAAACUGCUGCUUCCUCAGACGUCUUUGAAAAAAAAAAACAAACCACAAAUAUCAAGGCAGCAUGAAGGGAUGAAGGUGGCUAUAAAGGGACACUCUGAUGAAGAAGAGAGAAGUAAAAGAGAUGUCAGUGCCAGGCUGGAACUCCUCUUCCAAGGCAUAAGAUUGAAUACAUUUGCUGCGUUGCAGAACGAAGAGAGAAAUGUCACCUUCAGAGGUGAUCUGACAAUC